UAAGGUCUGUGCUAGAGGUUUUGCCU
rnacentral:piRNA from 1 species